CAUACGGCGAUUGGGAUCGAGGACCGCAGCACGCCUUUAUGGCCGGGGUUCGCCCACGUUCGUGCUUAGGAUGCUGGCGUAAUGGCUUUAAACGACCCGUCUUGAAACACGGACCAAGGAGUCUAACAUGCCUGCGAGUGUUUGGGUGGAAAACCCGAGCGCGUAAUGAAAGUGAAAGUUGAGAUCCCUGUCGUAGGGAGCAUCGACGCCCGGACUUGAACUUCGGUGAUAGAUCUGCGGUAGAGCAUGUAUGUUGGGACCCGAAAGAUGGUGAACUAUGCCUGAAUAGGGUGAAGCCAGAGGAAACUCUGGUGGAGGCUCGUAGCGAUUCUGACGUGCAAAUCGAUCGUCAAAUUUGGGUAUAGGGGCGAAAGACUAAUCGAACCAUC
rnacentral:rRNA from 1 species